rnacentral:rRNA from 1 species
GGUUACCUACGGGGCGCAGCAGUAGGGAAUCUUCCACAAUGGACGAAAGUCUGAUGGAGCGACGCCGCGUGAGUGAAGAAGGGUUUCGGCUCGUAAAACUCUGUUGGUAGUGAAGAAAGAUAGAGGUAGUAACUGGCCUUUAUUUGACGGUAAUUACUUAGAAAGUCACGGCUAACUACGUGCCAGCAGCCGCGGUAAUACGUAGGUGGCAAGCGUUGUCCGGAUUUAUUGGGCGUAAA